UAGCCGUAAACGAUACUCACUAGGUGUCGGCCACGGUGCGACCGUUGUCGGUGCCGUAGGGAAGCCGUGAAGCGAGCCACCUGGGAAGUACGGCCGCAAGGCUGAAACUUAAAGGAAUUGGCGGGGGAGCACCACAACGGGUGGAGCUUGCGGUUUAAUUGGAUUCAACGCCGGAAAUCUUACCGGGACCGACAGCAACAUGAAGGCCAGGCUGAAGACUUUGCCGGAUUAGCUGAGAGGUGGUGCAUGGCGUAGACGUCU
rnacentral:rRNA from 1 species